GCUCCCCUUGGGACGCGGGGACACAAAGGGGGCGAUAGUCCUACCCUGCCUCCCGUUAGCGCAGGUGUCGAGUGGGCCGGGAGGCAGAUACACGUCCGCGUGGCGCUUUUCUGCAUGUGAAAUCGGGGGCAAAGUGCGUUUAGUAGCUUCCAUGGUGAGGGCAGGGAGCGUGUGGGAGUUCGAGGUGACAGCUAAGGACACGCAUGGAGAGGCCUCACAAUGUCGGGAUCUGUGUCACGGCGUAACAGAGUGGUUUCCUUGCAGUUGCAUAAAGCACAUUCUUGCUUAAGAAUAGUGAUGAGGGAAGAGGAUCAAAGAACUAUAAAGCCGCUGCCGGGAAGAGUACAGCUCUUUCCUGUGCAGCUUCCUGAUUGAAACAAACUGUGUUACAGUGGACUGGAGCCUGGAUCCUCCGUGAGCUUACACAGCUGUGUUGCACUGAGAUAUGGUAAAGAGCUCAGUCACAGUGAUUUAUUGACACAAAAUCAGAAGGAGAAUCUUCUAAAUGGCCAGUCAGCUGAAGAAGCCAGACUGGGAACAUCUGUAUCUUCCCACCUGAAAACCUCACCUGUUGCUUGCUCCUACAGAGUACCUGGAAACACUGACCACUCACUUUGCCAGUUGAAGACCCAGUCAACUCUGCUGGAAGCCUGGGAUCAUGGAUAAGGAGACAAGCUAUAGCACUGUGCUGCAAGUAUGGGAAGCAUGGGAUUAGUUUUGUGGCGGCUUCAAGGGGGGGAACAGUCUGGAUCAACACAAAAUCACACCAUGUACCUGAGACUGUUGUCAAAAUGCUUCCCGAACUCCAUCAUACCUGGAGCUGUGAUUACUUCCCCAGGAAGCCUGUUCCAGUGCCCAACUACCCUCUGGAAAGCCUGGGGACACGUAGGAUUCAUCUCCCAUUUCUGCUGAAACUGGUGACCAAACUUGCAGCGGAUCAAGUGGAAGCAAGGUCAGGUGGUCAUCUUGUGAAAUCCUCUGGUCCAAUGCAUCUGGGGAGGCUGUAAAUACACAGGACACAGUCUGAGAAGUCUAUUUACCACCAGCGGUGUACUCAGGACUGAUUCCAGCACAGCCAUUAUGGAGAGUCCAAGGCUGCUGCAAACCCCAGGAACAAAGGAAUUGCAUAUCACAGCAGCAUUGCGGUCUUUGCCCAGAAGAGAUUUUCUUUAGGAGGGUGGAGGGUAGAAAUGAAAAACCUGAGGUCUGGCUCUGUAAUCUCCUUCUGUCUAUCUGCGGGCAGGUUACUCCCACUGUCACGCUGCUCUUGAAGUCUCUCCACAUCUACUCUAAGAGGUAAUUGCUGAGACCCAGCAGCACCCUGAGCUUCUGCAGUCAUUCCUCCUUCCCAUCUUCAAGACAAAUGCACUCCAUUUAUCAUAA